GCUACAUUGAUUUAGGGCGUAUGCCUGCCGAAAACAAGUCACAUAGGCCUACUGGCUAUGUCAUCGCUGGAUGGGCUAAAUAAUGUAAAGCUAUUUUGUGACAAUGUACUUUUUUUGCAAAUUGCUAUAGGCCUAUACUUAAACAAAAUUGCAUUGAAACAAAUUAAUUGAUCCAAUGAUUUACCGUCCGUAAGCUGUAGGACAAGGUGCAGCUAUAUGGUUUGAUGCGGUUUCGUGGACUUCCCCACUGAUAACCGAUAAUCCCUUGUUAAAUCGGAACAGCCUCAGCUCAUAUAUUUAGGCAUAUACUAAGCUCCUAUAUGUCCGCACGUGAUGACAUUCAUAGGCUAAUGCUUAUAUGUGUAGGCGUUGCCUGAACAAAAGUGUGCACAAUAGGCUUGCUAAUAACCAAUUUGUUUAUCAUCUCAGGCACUGGCCUCUAAUUGACACUGAGCUGUUUUACCUGUAUUCUGACAGGUUCAGGAUCCUGGACAGCGUUGAUAAAAAAAAACGCAUGUCACCAAUUUGAGGAGAAAGCCAUAGGUCCCUCCCCUCUGACCUUCUCCAAUGGGUUUUGAGAAGGAGGCGAGGAGAUAGGACACGAUGAGUGUGCAAUUGAGAUCUUCCCUGGACGUUUCCAUCAGACUCAUCUUUGCCUGCUGUCGCUGUUACCAUGCACACAGUGGGCUUCACAGAGACUGUGCAAGCACUAAAGAAAGUCAGUGUGUAAUUACAUAGGCGUUUACCCACAUCCCUUAUAGUCAACCUUUUAAAUUGAGUUAUAUUUUUUAGCUGCACUCUUGUUUGUCCCCCAAACUUCCCACAUCAGGAGAGUGGUUCCAGCAUAGUGGACCCCAUCAUUGGCAUCUGCGUCAUUGGAGUGAUCACUGUCACAUGUCUGCUGGCCAUGUCAUUGGCUGGGAUGGAAUGGGAGUCCAAGGGAGGGCCUUCUCCCUCAGCUGUGGACACUGCCAGUAGCUACAGUCAUGUGACCUGACUGAACAAGUGGCGGAUCAAGUCCUUGUAUCAAGGUGUGGUGACAGAUGACCUGCACACUGGGUUUCAGAUGCUGCUCCAGGUGGGCCAACUUCCAAGCCUCAUCUCCAUCACCGCAGUAGUGAGAUCUAGUAGAACAAUGGUCUAGAUCCAGUUCAUCAUGUGGUUCCAUACUGCAGGAUUUAAUUCAUGUGUUAUCAUUUAUUCCCGCAGGGUGCAGGUUUGGUCAGAUGUCCUCCUGAUGGGGUUAAAAAGGAACUUGCAUAAAAUCAAAUAAAAAAUCAAAUCAAAUUUUAUUGGUCACAUACACAUGGUUAGCAGAUGUUAAUGCGAGUGUAGCGAAAUGCUUGUGCUUCUAGUUCCGACCAUGCAGUAAUAUCUAACAAGUAAUCUAACAAUUUCACAACUACCUUAAAUACACAAGUGUAAAGGAAUGAAUAAGAAUAUGUACAUAUAAAUAUAUGGAUGAGUGAUGGCCGAACGGCAUAGGCAAGAUGCAGUAGAUGGUAUAGAGUACAGUAUAUACAUAUGAGAUGCGUAAUAUAGGGUAUGUAAACAUUAUAUAAAGUAGCAUUGUUUAAAGUGACUAGUGAUACAUUUAUUACAUCCAAUUUUUAAUUAUUAAAGUGGCUAGAGAUUUGAGUCAGUAUGUUGGCAGCAGCCACUCAAUGUUAGUGAUGGCUGUUUAACAGUCUGAUGGCCUUGAGAUAGAAACUGUUUUUCAGUCUCUCAGUCCCAGCUUUGAUGCACCUGUACUGUCCUCGCCUUCUGGAUGGUAGCGGGUGUGAACAGGCAGUGGCUCGGGUGGUCGUUGUCCUUGAUGAUCUUUUUGGCCUUCCUGUGACAUCGGGUGGUGUAGGUGUCCUGGAGAGCAGGUAGUUUGCCCCCGGUGAUGCGUUGUGCAGACCUCACUACCCUCUGGAGAGCCUUGCGGUUGUGUGCGGAGCAGUUGCCAUACCAGGCUGUGAUACAGCCCGACAGGAUGCUCUCGAUUGUGCAUCUGUAAAAGUUUGUGUGUGUUUUUGGUGACAAGCCAAAUUUCUUCAGCCUCCUGAGGUUGAAGAGGUGCUGUUGCGCCUUCUUCACCACAUUGUCUGUGUGGGUGGAUCAUUUCAGUUUGUCCUUGAUGUGUACGCCGAGGAACUUAAAACUUUCCACCUUCUCCACUACUGUUUCGUCGAUGUGGAUAGGGGGCUGCUCCCUCUGCUGUUUCCUAAAGUCCACGAUCAUCUCCUUUGUUUUGUUGACAUUGAGUGUGAGGUUAUUUUCCUGACACCACACUCCAAGGGCCCUCACCUCCUCCCUGUAGGCCGUCUCAUUGUUGUUGGUCAUCAAGCCUACCACUGUAGUGUCGUCUGCAAACUUGAUGAUUGAGUUGGAGGACAGACCAUCCUGCAUUGACAGCUACAUUGGCAUUCUACAGUGAGUGAAUCACUGUCAAAUCAGAAAGACGAGUUCCUUAUGGAUGUGUUAGUGAGAAUGAAGUUUAAUGUGUCUUUGUGGCUGUGUUUUAGUGACUCAUUUGACCUGCAGUAUGAAGUGUGAGGGCUGCGGAUGAGGGAGUUAACCCUUGGUUUGAGGCAAGCCCAGAAAGGGGUGUCAACACCUGUGUGCACCCCUGCAAAUGUUUUAUUUAUGUAUGAUAACAUUCAGAGUAUACAGUUUGUGGUCUAUGACGUUCAUUUUUUUUUAAAAAUAGUAUUGACAGAGGGAUGUUGUCUUAGUUACAAUAGACCCUGAUGCCAUGGUGACUGAGCCUCAGCCUCAUACUGUGUUUCAGUCCGAGCAGGGGGAAAAUACCAUUGAUGUGUACUGGCUGUUCGAUGAUGGAGUCAUGGCCCUCGUCGGCAAGUUCCGCCUUGGUUUCCAUGACGUCAAAGUGCUGCCUGAUAUCAAUGGAAGACCACAACAUGAACAGUCAGUGCUCUGUUGAGACACUUCCAUCUGCCUCGCUGACAAGUGUGAGGAGGUUUGAGGAUCUGAUAGGGACCUACAAGCUGAACACCGACUAGAAGCAUGCAGCUGAGCAGAUGAAGCAGGUCUGUCCCUGGGUGGUGUCUGGUGAGGAGAUGGAGAGAAAUAAGAUCAUUAACUGGGAUUCGAGGGCCCAAAGGGCAGUACCACUCUAUUGCCAAAAUGUCAAUUGUAGCAUAGCUAGAUGUGGAAUACAUGUUUUGGAAUUUUGACAGUAUCAUUGUUCUCUGGUUACUGUACCUCCAUAUAUGUGUUUUUGCUCCAGACCCUUCAACAGAUUCGUCUGAAUGAGGUUCUCCAAGAUUACUCAAGGGAUGCAGCCAUGAUUGUUAUGUACAUAUUUUGUAUUUACAAACCAGAUGUCUUUCUUGCAUUCAUUGACUUCAACCCACCCCAUCCCAUUACAAAGCCCAUAAAGGCUUUCCCACAUGAACAGGUGAUGAGAUUGAUUACUCCCUUGGUCUUGCAUGAGAUGAUACCCCAAACAGGGAUUUUUCCACCUGUAUGUGGGUGUCUGAAGAAGGAUGUUGUUAUAGUGCUGUUGCACUGUGCUCAUGAGCCACAUUUGUAGUUCCCAUUUGGAACGGGUGUCAAGAGUGGGCUUAUUGACAGAACCAUGCCCGUGGGAAGGAGAGGGCAAUAUCCCAGUGCUCUGUGCAUGGCUUGGCUGGAGACUCGUGACUCGUGCCCACUUAAUGGUGAGGGGAAACCAAGAGCAUAUCUUCACCGUCUAAUGUCAGUGAUCCCUGUUCUAACUAUGUUUAAUGAAAUCACGCAAUAACCAAGGAAAAUAGUAUUGUUAUAGCCCUGGUGAUAAUACAUCUAAUUUUCUCUGGUAAAAGUGCUCUGGUCAUGACAAUUCACUUCUUUCAUUAUCAUCAGCAGACUCCUUAGCCAUCUGAAUACAUUUAACAUCAUCAUCAGUAGCAGAAGCAUUGUUGUCAUUAUCAUCACUAUGCAGUAGAAUAUAACAUUUGUUAUUGGUGUGCUUGAUGAUAGACUGUUUUGAAGUGUAACACCACUGUGUAUUUGUA
rnacentral:lncRNA from 1 species